GCCGGGAGGAGGCGGCUGUCGGGAUUGUCCCAGCGCCAGGCUCGCCGUGGAAAGACGGGUCAGCGGGUCCUCAGCCGUGACUGUGGAGAGCCUGCGGUUACGGGAUUCUUCCCCCGGGCGGCAGGAGUUGCCUCCUCUGUGGUGCCCGGGCAGCCCUGCGAGGCGGGCUGGCGCCCCGCCGCGGCGGGAGGUGCCUGAGGGGGGCCCUGUGCUGCUUCGUGUCGGGUGGUGGAGGACGGCCCCGCCGCCAAUUCAGCUCGCCUGGGGAUAUGCUCCAGUAUGUAAGUGCCCAGACUUCGAGUGGGACUGCUCCUGUGGAAAAAGAUACGCACCCGCUUAACGUGCAGGACCUUGCUUCCGAGGAGUCAAGAGUAUUCGUUCAAAGGUAACAUAUAAUAAAAAAUAAACUAUAUUUAUUUGUUUCUCAGAAAAGAUUAUAUGAAUAAUCUUAAUCAAGAAAGUAUUUUACAGUAUAAAACCAGAUUAAUGUAAUUAAAAAAACCCAACAUUGUGAAGGAGAGGGUAACAGAGGGUAAUACUCUUAAUUCCUUUCUUCUUUUUACCACUUCAUGCAUAUUUUUCAAUUAAAAAAAUGAACAAACCAACAAAAAAGCCAGCAUUUUAAACACCUACUCUUAUUACUUAGGAAAAAAGUUUGUGAAAUGUUCAUGAGGGAUCAUUUUGCUCCUGGAAGUAUUGAUUGCAAAGUAGCGGUCCUAAUAUUGCAUGGGAGCUGAUUCCAGGUUUUGGCCAAAUGUGGAACUCUUUGGACCAAGGUCUGUAUAUCACAUAUCCUCCAUCUUCUGAGGAAGGGCUGAAAUUUUUCAUAUCUUUGGUAAAUUUGACAUUUAUUUUUAACAAAAACACCACAGCAUGGGGCUAUAUGCCCUAUUAAUGAAAGAAUCUUGGGAAUCUUACUACCACCCAGGGUGGGAAAAGACAGAAUUCAAUAUGUAUACCACAGAGGCCAAAUCUCUGUGGUCUUGACCAUCAAACUUCCCUUGCAACCUCACCGGUUGGAUGAUGAAAAGAUGCCAAAGCUUGGGUGGAAACAAUGCAUUUAGAACCAAUGUAAGUUGUAGACCCUUGCCAUGGGAUCCUACAGAAAAUCCAUUAUUUUAUCCAAGCUUUUAUGAACCUGAGUACUUUAUAUGAUGAUGGGAUACACCUUACUCUGUGGAACUUUCAUGCCAGGCGGGUGUCAGGAAUCAGGAUACACAGGAAUUCCAAUUCCCUGAGCUUGGUCCGGGGACAUUUUAGAAUAAGGAAUACCGUAUAAUGAUGCUAUACUUGAGCCACCUCCCAGGUGACCUGCAAGUCUUCUUUUUAACUGUUCUAAAGUAAAGAAGGACCGGGAGACCCCUUGAAACUUAGUGGGUAGAAAACAACAGAACUGCAAGGCGGGAAAAAAUCCAUGAUGAGAGUACCCAGUCCGAAAGCACUCAUGUGCCACCCAGCUCUCCCCUGCCAAGGAGGUUCCUCACUGGCCUGGGGGUGUGGAAAUCUCUUUUCUUGCUGCAUAUGUGAAUCCCAACCCUGGUGGGCCAGGGAAGUGUGGCCGUCAGCCUCGCAUUGACCACAAGGACUGCAGUGGACAACCAUGACCAUCUUUGCAUUGCUGGAGACCCAAGAAUAAUGAAGCCACCGGUGAAUUAUACCACCAGAAGAGUCGCAGGAAGAAAGGACAAAAUGUCAUACACAACCUGUUAGUUCAUAUUGGAUCAAUUAUUCUUUUAGGUAUUGCUGUAAUUAUUAUUUUAAUAUGUGUUUGUUUGCCUUGUGAUUGCCACUGCGGACGGUCACUUGCCUCUGAUCUCCCAGAGCCAUAGUCCUCAAACUUCGCAUGGGACACAUUUUGGUUUUGUAGAAUCAAUUAACUUUAGGCAUGUUAUUGUUAAAAGAAAAUGUUGUUAAUGAUUGGCAUAGCUACCGUGCGAUCUAUGAUUACACGUAUUUUCUACUUCUAUUCUUUCUUCUGAUCUUAUGUGCCUAUAACCACCGUGGAUGAAGACAACCAACACUGGUCCCAGCAGUGUUUAAGCCACAGAUUGGUGUGAGAGCCAGGAAACUGAGCUUGUCUCAGGCACCAUUUGCAUUCGACCAUGGGAGGCUUUGCAAGAAUUAGUGCAAACGAAGCAAACUUUAAGGAUGUUAGCUCUCAAUACUGCAUAGACAGGAUUGUCAUGACCCCUUUUUUUGAAGCUGGUAAACCACCACAGGAGUGUGAAAAAUGCUCAACUCGAGCUGACUCAAAGGAUGGAGUCAAAUAGUGGACACCACAAGAUGAGGGACGACGACCACCCAGAGGACCCUCACAGAACCCCAGCUUUGGAACU
rnacentral:lncRNA from 1 species